rnacentral:rRNA from 1 species
UUUGACAUAUACCGGAAACACNUAGAGAUAGGUGCCCCNUUGUGGUCGGUAUACAGGUGGUGCAUGGCUGUCGUCAGCUCGUGUCGUGAGAUGUUGGGUUAAGUCCCGCAACGAGCGCAACCCUUGUCCUGUGUUGCCAGCGCGUAAUGGCGGGGANUCGCAGGAGACUGCCGGGGUCAACUCGGAGGAAGGUGGGGACGACGUCAAGUCAUCAUGCCCCUUAUGUCCAGGGCUUCACACAUGNUACAAUGGCCGGUACAGAGGGCUGCGAUACCGUGAGGUGGAGCGAAUCCCUUAAAGCCGGUCUCAGUUCGGAUCGGGGUCUGCAACUCGACCCCGUGAAGUCGGAGUCGNUAGUAAUCGCAGAUCAGCAACGCUGCGGUGAAUACGUUCCCGGGCCUUGUACACACCGCCCGUCACGUCAUGAAAGUCGGUAACACCCGAACCCGUG